GGCCGCGUAGUGUAGUGGUUAGCACGCAGGAUUUUGACGAGUUAAAAUUUCCUGAGACCUGAGUUCAAUCCUCGGCGGGGCCU
rnacentral:tRNA from 1 species